GUCCUGGCCGUAAACGUUGAAUACUAGGUGUGGGGGGUAUCGACCCCUCCCGUGCCGCAGCUAACGCAAUAAGUAUUCCGCCUGGGAAGUACGGCCGCAAGGUUGAAACUCAAAGGAAUUGACGGGGGCCCGCACAAGCGGUGGAGCAUGUGGUUUAAUUCGACGCAACGCGAAGAACCUUACCCGGGCUCGAAAUGCUGGGGCCAACUGUGGAAACACAGCCUCUUACCUUCGGGUAAGUCCCAGUAUAGGUGCUGCAUGGCUGUCGU
rnacentral:rRNA from 1 species